rnacentral:lncRNA from 1 species
AUGUCGACCAGGAACAAGGAAAGGAGGGAAGAACCCUAACUCCUCAAAAAUCUUCAAAAUUGGAAGGGGAAUUCAGCUCAAACCCGAUGCAUGAACCCUAAUAUAUGAUCAUCAAGGCUUGCUGAACAUGUGGAAUCAUGUCAAGAUGGAUGGGAGCGUUGAAGUCCAACGGGCUAAGAAGACUCAAUCAAGUAAGCGAACGCAAAUACGGACGCGCAAGGUAAGUGAAUCCCGGACUUACACUUUAGAUGUAAAAUGUAUUGUAGUAUGAUGAUUAUUGUGAAACGUGUGAGAAAGUAUGAGACAAUGGAAGUAAUAAGGUAAGUUUACGGUAAAUGAGUCGAAAGUAGUUAAGAAAUAGUUUCUAUUAAGUGUAGGUAAGGAAGAAUCUUACGUGAUGAUAUUAUGCAUAAAGAUGGAAUAAGUAGUUAUACGCGUAGGUAUGGGUAUAAUUGUAAGUAAGCAAUUGGGACUCAUAGGAGACUUUGACUAUGAACACGUAAGUGUGGAUAAUUAUGUGUAUACAAUUUACAUGUAUAGGUGGGUGUGUUUAGGAUUUACAAGUAAUAUGUGUAGAAUGUAAAUUUGUAAGUUCAUAUGAGCUUUGUUUAUCUUAAAUGUAAAUUUACGAGUAGUGGUAUUUGGUACUAUGGAUUGUUGUAAAUGUUCAUAACGGGUCAAAGGAUGUAAAUAUAUUGGAAAGCAUGUUAUGUAGCGAUUCAUUACGAAUGGGUCAAAAGGUGAUAAGUUGGAUGUUUCAAAUGGAAGUAAAGAUGCUAAUAAGGUAACAUGUUAUGUUAACGGGUCGAACAAUGAUAGGUAAUUUAAAGGAUUUUAAAUUACUAUGUAUUAUGAACUAACAAUGUUGUUGUUAUGAAUGUUAGGUAAAUUUAUUGCUUGAUGCGGCGCACCC